CUGCUGCAUCUCUUUAAUCAGAAUCAGUUUCAUUGGCCAAGUAUACUUACAUGCACAAGGAAUUUGACUUCGGAAGGUGUUAACUCUCUAUACAUUCAACAAAUAGACAUGUAGUGGUAAACAUUCAGUAGACAAAUAGUAAUAUAGAUACAUACUGUACAAU